rnacentral:rRNA from 1 species
GACGAACGCUGGCGGCGUGCCUAAUACAUGCAAGUCGAACGAACCGCGACUAGGUGCUUGCACUUGGUCAAGGUGAGUGGCGAACGGGUGAGUAACACGUGGGUAACCUACCUCAUAGUGGGGGAUAACAGUCGGAAACGACUGCUAAUACCGCAUAGGACAUGGGAUCACAUGAUUCUGUGAGGAAAGGUGGCGCAAGCUAUCGCUAAGAGAUGGACCCGCGGUGCAUUAGCUAGUUGGUAGGGUAACGGCCUACCAAGGCGAUGAUGCAUAGCCGACCUGAGAGGGUGAUCGGCCACAUUGGGACUGAGACACGGCCCAAACUCCUACGGGAGGCAGCAGUAGGGAAUCUUCCGCAAUGGACGCAAGUCUGACGGAGCAACGCCGCGUGAGUGAAGAAGGUCUUCGGAUCGUAAAGCUCUGUUGUUAGAGAAGAACAGCGCAUAGAGUAACUGUUAUGCGUGUGACGGUAUCUAACCAGAAAGCCACGGCUAACUACGUG